GACGUAGGGCGCGAGCGUUGUCCGGAAUUAUUGGGCGUAAAGAGCUCGUAGGCGGUCUGUCGCGUCGAAUGUGAAAACCCGGGGCUCAACCCCGGGCCUGCAUUCGAUACGGGCAGACUAGAGUUCGGUAGGGGAGUCUGGAAUUCCUGGUGUAGCGGUGAAAUGCGCAGAUAUCAGGAGGAACACCGGUGGCGAAGGCGGGACUCUGGGCCGAUACUGACGCUGAGGAGCGAAAGCGUGGGGAGCGAACAGG
rnacentral:rRNA from 1 species